rnacentral:rRNA from 1 species
AUAUCAGUAAGCGGAGGAAAAGAAACCAACAGGGAUUCCCAUAGUAACUGCGAGUGAAGUGGGAUGAGCCCAGCACCAAGGUCAUCGGCCUGUGGUCGACUGACGAUGCGGUGUUUGACAUGCCUAUUGUGCGGUGGACGGAGCGACAAAGUUCCCUUGACAGGGCUCGUGCCCCAUAGCGGGUGUGAGGCCUUUAGUUGCUCGUGAGCUGCCGUAUCUCGGGUAUGUCUAGAGUCGGGUUGUUUGGGAGUACAGCCCAAAGUAGGGUGGUAAACUCCAUACUAAGGCUAAAU